rnacentral:rRNA from 1 species
AUUGAACGCUGGCGGCAGGCCUAACACAUGCAAGUCGAACGAGUGGCGGACGGGUGAGUAAUGUCUGGGAAUCUGCCUGAUGGAGGGGGAUAACUACUGGAAACGGUAGCUAAUACCGCAUACCAUCAGAUGUGCCCAGAUGGGAUUAGCUAGUUGGUGGGGUAACGGCUCACCAAGGCGACGAUACAUAGCCGGCCUGAGAGGAUGAUCGGACACACUGGGACAGAGACACGGCCCAGAGUCCAACGGGAGGCAGCAGGAGGGAAUAUUGGGAAAUGGGCGCAAGCCGGAGACAGCCAUGCCGCGUGUAUGAAGAAGGCCUUCGGGUUGUAAAGUACUUUCAGCGGGGAGGCGUUACCCGCAGAAGAAGCACCGGCUAACUACGUGCCAGCAGCCGCGGUAAUUC